rnacentral:rRNA from 1 species
GAUGAACGCUAGCUACAGGCUUAACACAUGCAAGUCGAGGGGAAACGACAUCGAAAGCUUGCUUUUGAUGGGCGUCGACCGGCGCACGGGUGAGUAACGCGUAUCCAACCUGCCCACCACUUGGGGAUAACCUUGCGAAAGUAAGACUAAUACCCAAUGACGUCUCUAGAAGACAUCUGAAAGAGAUUAAAGAUUUAUCGGUGAUGGAUGGGGAUGCGUCUGAUUAGCUUGUUGGCGGGGUAACGGCCCACCAAGGCGACGAUCAGUAGGGGUUCUGAGAGGAAGGUCCCCCACAUUGAGACUGAGACACGGUCCAAACUCCUACGGGAGGCAGCAGUGAGGAAUAUUGGUCAAUGGGCGAGAGCCUGAACCAGCCAAGUAGCGUGCAGGAUGACGGCCCUAUGGGUUGUAAACUGCUUUUAUAAGGGAAUAAAGUGAGUCUCGUGAGACUUUUUGCAUGUACCUUAUGAAUAAGGACCGGCUAAUUCCGUGCCAGCCGCCGCAGUAA